rnacentral:piRNA from 1 species
UGUGUAAAUUGCCAAGCGCUGUGUCA